GUCCGAGUGCUGGAAUUGGUAGACAGAGCGAUCUUAAGAUUCGCUGGCGUAUUGCCGUAAACGUUCAAGUCGUUUCUUGGAUA
rnacentral:tRNA from 1 species